AGAGUUUGAUAUGGCUCAGGAUGAACGCUGGCGGCGUGCUUAACACAUGCAAGUCGAACGAAGCACUUUAUUUGAUUUCUUCGGAAUGAAGAUUUAGUGACUGAGUGGCGGACGGGUGAGUAACGCGUGGGCAACCUGCCUCAUACAGGGGGAUAACAGUUGGAAACGACUGCUAAUACCGCAUAAGCGCACAGUACCGCAUGGUACGGUGUGAAAAACUCCGGUGGUAUGAGAUGGGCCCGCGUCUGAUUAGCCAGUUGGCGGGGUAACGGCCCACCAAAGCGACGAUCAGUAGCCGACCUGAGAGGGUGACCGGCCACAUUGGGACUGAGACACGGCCCAAACUCCUACGGGAGGCAGCAGUGGGGAAUAUUGCACAAUGGGGGAAACCCUGAUGCAGCGACGCCGCGUGAGCGAAGAAGUAUUUCGGUAUGUAAAGCUCUAUCAGCAGGGAAGAAGAAUGACGGUACCUGACUAAGAAGCACCGGCUAAAUACGUGCCAGCAGCCGCGGUAAUACGUAUGGUGCAAGCGUUAUCCGGAUUUACUGGGUGUAAAGGGAGCGCAGGCGGAAGGCUAAGUCUGAUGUGAAAGCCCGGGGCUCAACCCCGGUACUGCAUUGGAAACUGGUCAUCUAGAGUGUCGGAGGGGUAAGUGGAAUUCCUAGUGUAGCGGUGAAAUGCGUAGAUAUUAGGAGGAACACCUGUGGCGAAGGCGGCUUACUGGACGAUUACUGACGCUGAGGCUCGAAAGCGUGGGGAGCAAACAGGAUUAGAUACCCUGGUAGUCCACGCCGUAAACG
rnacentral:rRNA from 1 species